rnacentral:tRNA from 1 species
ACUUGGAUAGCUUAAUUUAAAGCUUAAUAUUGAAGCUAUUAUGAUAAGAAUAUUCUUUCCAAGUA